ensembl:snoRNA Gm22778 predicted gene, 22778
CCUGCUCCUAGAGACACUGCAGGUACACCUGCUGUGCUAUAUGUGUGCCAGUAGGUGGCAGAGAGGAGAGAUGCUACGUCUAAGCUCAGUGUCUGACCAGUGAAUGGCUGAGUGAUUAGUAGCCUAACAUU